UCCAAGGCUAAAUACUCCUGACUGACCGAUAGUGAACCAGUACCGUGAGGGAAAGGCGAAAAGAACCCCGGCGAGGGGAGUGAAAAAGAACCUGAAACCGUGUACGUACAAGCAGUGGGAGCACGCUUAGGCGUGUGACUGCGUACCUUUUGUAUAAUGGGUCAGCGACUUAUAUUCUGUAGCAAGGUUAACCGAAUAGGGGAGCCGAAGGGAAACCGAGUCUUAACUGGGCGUUAAGUUGCAGGGUAUAGACCCGAAACCCGGUGAUCUAGCCAUGGGCAGGUUGAAGGUUGGGUAACACUAACUGGAGGACCGAACCGACUAAUGUUGAAAAAUUAGCGGAUGACUUGUGGCUGGGGGUGAAAGGCCAAUCAAACCGGGAGAUAGCUGGUUCUCCCCGAAAGCUAUUUAGGUAGCGCCUCGUGAAUUCAUCUCCGGGGGUAGAGCACUGUUUCGGCAAGGGGGUCAUCCCGACUUACCAACCCGAUGCAAACUGCGAAUACCGGAGAAUGUUAUCACGGGAGACACACGGCGGGUGCUAACGUCCGUCGUGAAGAGGGAAACAACCCAGACCGCCAGCUAAGGUCCCAAAGUCAUGGUUAAGUGGGAAACGAUGUGGGAAGGCCCAGACAGCCAGGAUGUUGGCUUAGAAGCAGCCAUCAUUUAAAGAAAGCGUAAUAGCUCACUGGUCGAGUCGGCCUGCGCGGAAGAUGUAACGGGGCUAAACCAUGCAC
rnacentral:rRNA from 1 species